CAGAGUUCAUGCCCUUACGGGUAGAUCUCCCACCCUUGAAAUAUCUACCUUUGUUGCUUUGGCAGGCACUCACCAGCCGGAGGACCCAACUCUUGUUUUUAGUGAUGUCUGAGUACUAUAUAAUAGUUA
rnacentral:misc_RNA from 1 species